GGGGCCCUGCUGAGCCGCUCUGAGGCCGCCGGGGGGAGCUGUGGUGCUGCGGAGGCCCCGGCCCGGAGGCUGUGCGGCCUGUGGAGGCCAUGGCUGUGCUCGCCUGCCCUGCUGCCAGCAGGCUGCGGGCCCCCCCCCGCCUUGCUGUUAGCCCCAGGGAUCGCCACAGCCAGCUCCUCUCCAUGCCCACAGCCCCAAGAGGCUGCCCCAUCCCACCUCCCCUGGCACCCCAGAGCUGGGGGGGCUCAGACUUUUGUGGGACCCCCCCCAGCAAGGAGCAGCCCCCACAUUACCCCCACCUGUGCCCAUAGGGCUGCCAGGUGCCCACCUGGUCCUGCUGGGUUCAAGCUCAGCAGGUGCAGGGUGUUAAGGCCUGGUCUGGGAACAAAUUGUUGUUUUGGCCCAGGUGGUGUGAUUGCUCCACUUCCACCCUUUACAUCCAGAUUUGCUCCUGCACAGGCUGUGGCUCUGGUCUCCUCGGUGCAGGACUCGCAGCAGGGAUAAACUCCUCCAGCGAUGAAGGGUGCUACGCCCUGGCUUGGUGCAAGGUUGCUCUGCUCUGCUCCUUGUCCCUGUUCCUCACUGACAACAGAUUAGCGCAUCUCCUAACAUUGGAUCACCCCAACAGCAGCCAUCUGGUGCUCUUUAACGAUACAAAGACCUAUUGUUUGCUCAGGAAUCCUUCUUUUGGCAAGGCACCUCUGCUUCUGGAGCGCUCGGCGGGUUUUGCCGGGGUCCUUCUGCUCUGCUGGCAAGUGCAGGUGCCUUUGGAGCGGCCGUGCUCCCUGAUGGAGGCACCGCUCGGGCUUCACUUUCCUCUUUUGCCUCUCCUAAUUGCAACCCUGAAGUUUCCCACGGUGACCCCGCACUGAAAAACGUCCCCACCUUUUGGCAGGGACGGGACCUGGGGUCGUCUUUGUGGGAGAAAUAUCCCGAGCUUUGGGUUUCCAGCCUCACCAUCCUACCCAGCAUCAAAUCCCUUUGUGUCCUUCAGCGCCAAACCCCCCCUCGGAGACAGAGCCGUGGCCAAAACGCCGUGGCCCUGUGCAGGAAGGAGAGAGAGGGGUUAAGAGCAGAGGAUGGGGAUGCCAGCUGGGACGCUGCUGCAUGACAAAUGCGGCUUCUGCAUUUCACUCUUCAAACCAGCCCAGAGCCACCCUAAUUUCGGAGAGAGCCGCCUCUGAAGCAGCAGUGACUCAGAGGAAUUUAUCCGGGAGGCUCCGUCCUGCAGGCUGCGGCAGCCGCUUGCAGGUUUAAUUUGUAAAUGCUGACACAUGGCAUUUCCUCGCCGUCGCGCUGGGAAGGGCGGCGUGUCUGUCGGCACUUCCAAUUUGUCACUGUCAGCACCGGCCUCGUAUCCUGCUCGUCUCUGAAAUGUCUUCUGAUCGGCGCCGGGGAAGUUAUUGGCACGCAAUUCAUCAUUUAAUAUUACCAGAAGGGUUUCUUCUCCAAACAUCCCCCCGAAUGAUUAUCCAGAUUAUAUGGGGUAGUUCUUCCCUUCACCUGCAAGCCUCUCUCUUGGCUUGGUUUUGGUGCCUGAGCGAGUACUCGAGGCUGUCGUGCCGAGGAGAAAAACUGCCCUUGAUGCGGCGCCUCCUUUGCCGAAAAGCCCUGAUGAGUGAGCAGCCAGCGCUGCCUGCACGCAGGUUUUGCAGAAGGAGAAGCUGCAAAAGGGCUUCUUUAGGGCUGCACCUUCCCCUUUGCAUCUCUGGCAGCCACUGCCGUGCUGGGGGGUGAGCAGGGUGCAAGGAGGGGCUGUGCCUUUCCUCCCUGACUCUCAAACCCCUUCCAGCAUCCCUGGCACACCUCGGGGGCAGUGGCACUGCCUCCCUCUGCCUGUGGGUUUUGCCACAGCACGGUGCUGCAAAUACCCCGGGGUAUCCUUGCUGCCCCCAGCUCCUUGCUGCCUCCCCGGCUGUGC